GGAGGUUAGAGUGAGAAAGAGAAAUCAGUUAGUUGGAUGACAGUUGGUCAGCUGGAGAAGAGAGAAGCUGAGCUGGAGGCUUGGAGAGACAUGGGUUUUAAACAGGGGAUAUUUCUCUGGUGAAGAGAGGAGUAGGGCUUAGGUGGAGGCAAGGGUGAAUCUGUUCUUCACUAAAAAGCCUGUUCAGAGGUAGUCCUCAGGAGAGAGGCUGAAAAGAAACUCUGUAACCAAGCAAGGCACCUAAAUCCCUGAGUGAAGAAAGACUGUUAAUAUCUCUGUCAGGACUCUGUAUCUCCAUUUACCUAAAUAAAGCUAGUCCUGAUUUAUGGCACUAGACAGAAAGAGAUUAACGACAAGGUCCUUAGAAGAAGGGAUGGAUGCCUGCUACUGUCUCUCUAUUCUGACUGGCAAUGGUUUGGCACAGUCUGAGGCAAACGCCUUUCCUAGUCCUGCUACCCGAGAUCCUUUAACUGGAGAUGUUGGGAAUUGAACUGCAGACCUACGCAUGCAAAAUAUACAAUCUAGGAGCUAUGGACCCUGCUCAUUGUUGUUGCAUCUCCAUUAACUUCAGCUGGCCUUAAAGACAUAAAAUGAGUACA